GACGAAUAGGACAUUUAUAUCC
rnacentral:miRNA from 1 species